UCCACCACUACAGCAUCAUGUCUUGCCGCAGCUACUGGCAUAUCCCAUCUAACCCCAUCCCCCAAUAUGACUGCAUUACAAACAAGGCUAGAAAAGCAACAACAUAAUUUAAGGACCGCACUGAAGAUGAGCAGAGAAAAAAACCACCCACCACCUAACAAACAAUGAAGGGACACACAUUCUCAGCAGAAGGUGCCCGACAGCAUUUCAGCAUUACUGAGCUGAAGAUUUCACACAACAGCAUGGUCAUCUUGCAUCCUAUUUCUCUGAAGCCCUCUGCACUGACCACUAGCAACGUGUGGAUGAAGCUGCACGCAGAAUCGCAGCAGUGACCUUUUUCUGCUGCAGGCAUUUGUCGCCUUUCUUUGUAAAAGCCAAAUUAGGGCAGUAUAAACAAUAUGUACGUUACAAGGAAAUGAUCUCUGAGUAACAAAGUUUAACGAAUAAAUCACAGCAGUUGGAGCACUAUCA